CAAUCAACAAUAUAGCAAAAUAUAAAUGCAAUAGUUUUAGAAACUACAUAUCUCCUAAA
rnacentral:tRNA from 1 species